UUUCUGACACCGAUAUGUUUUUUUUUUAACUCAUCAUAUUUCUUUCCAUUCUUCAUUCUUCUUUUUAUCCGCUAAAUGAAAGUGAGUCAGCUUUGAUCCCUGAGUGGUAGCAGUCUAUUCUGAGUCAUUCCCAGUCUGAAGGAAUAGGGCUUGGAAGUCCCCGCUGAGCGGUCUGUCUAUUGAUGCACCGGAUGCUUGUCCGAAAGCUUUGUUAUCUCUAUCUUUUGAAUAAUUUACUCCUAGGUACUCUUCCCCAACCAAUAGCUCGCUGGCCGCUAUCACUUCAUUCGUUCGUUUCGUUACACUCCACUUGCUUUAGUGCUCGCUCCGGUACACUCUUGGGUUGGAUAUACAGAUUGAAAACAAGGAUUUCAGACAGCAUGAAAGAUUCCCGUGGA
rnacentral:lncRNA from 1 species